UUAACUCUGGAUUCCUUGUUUAUUUGUUUUAUAAAAAUGUGUUUGAGGAUUUUGUUAUUGUUGGGCUUUUUGUUUAGACGUCUAUGUCUAGACUUUUUGAAAGACAGAUUAGAGAGUACCUGCCUGAUAAACAGGAAAAUUGCCCAAUCUUCUCCAACUCAGUACUGUACCUUGAAAUGUGUUGGACUAUGUUUCCCAUAAUCAUCAGUAUGAACACUGGAAAAGGUUGCUCAAACCAUUUAACAACAACAACAACAACAACAACAACCACCACCACCACCACCACCUUAGAACUGCAAAGCUGGAAAGGACCCUAUGGAUUAUCAAGUGGAGACCCUAUCAAAGAGACUCUUCCAGAGUGCGGGCAGCAUACAACAUGAAUGAAUGAAUAGGCACAGUGGGAAAUUGAACUCGCAACCUCUAUGUAUGUUACGUCUCCAGUUUAAUACAUACCCAGGCACACUUGGAGACUCAAGUAGAAUCGUUCCUCCCUCUUAUCUCUCCCAUCAUUUUUUAGGGUGGUGGAAGAAAGGCAGAGAAAAUAAUAACCUUACCUUAGAACUGAAUUGCUGGAAAAGACCCUGUGGGUCAUCAAGUUCAGCCCCUGUCAAGGAGGCACAGUGGGGAAUCAAACUAGCAACUGCUGUGUCCAUUGCAUACUCCCUGGGAAUGUACUAAACAUGAGGAAAAAUCUGUUUAAGCUUUUAAAAAAAAUAUCCGUUAGUCUUUUGGGGGGUGGGAACAGACACUGUGAUGUAUACAUUUGUCUAUUAAAUGUGUACACUUUUGGUAGAGUUCUCAUAUGAUCAAAUCCAAUCAAAUAAUAUAUGUGUUUGACUAUUUCAGUAAUUUCUCAGUAGAUCACUUGGCAAUAGUGAAUAUUUUUAGCAAGAUAGUGGUGAGGCCAAGUAAACAUUCUCUCCUUUCUUCUUGCAGGUCUUUGCUUUCAUGGCAGCCAUCACUUUCGGAGUUGGAGGAAUCCAUGAAGCAUAUCUAACACUUGCAAUCAUAGAAUUUGUCAUUUCUUUAUUAUUCUUUUUACUCUAUCUGCUAAGUCUCCAAAAAACACUGAAGUUUUUGUUUUGGCCCUUGGCUGAUGCUUUCAACUCUCUGGUAUCAGCGCUAUUUCUCCUCAUUGCAGGCCUGUGCGCAGCGAUAAAGAAGAUAAUAAUUGAACAUAUAGUUGGGGGAGUGUUUUUCCUGAUCCUCUGUGUUCUUUGUAUAGUAGAUGCUGCCUUUCUGUUGAAGAACAUUACUUUCAAUAGGCCAGUACCAGGACGGGACAUUAUCCACAGAUAGAAGGACCAGCAAGCUAAAUCUAACAUAGAAUUCAUUUGGAAUGUUUCUUGGGCAAUAAGCUGUUUAUGUCAUAUUUUCUUUGAAUUUUCAAAAAAUGUACAAGCAUGAUUCAACCAUUCAAGAACUUUUAAAUACUGCUGAUGUCAUUUAAGCAUGUGCCGAAAAUCAGUGUGAUUUCAGCCAAUUUCAGUCUUCUUAUAUAGUUUUUUAUUGUAUAGUUCUUUUUAAAAUUUGUUCACUUUUUACUUGUAUAAGCAACGUUUAAAUAAACUACUCCUAUGAAUUAACA
rnacentral:lncRNA from 1 species